CAGAGGGCUCCUGGGACAGGUUCUUGCUCAAUGUCUAGGUCAGCUGGGGGGAGGGGGGGUGGGGCACCUCCGGAUGGGACCUGUGUUAGAAGCUACUGCCUCUGGUCAGUCCCAAGCAUGGCCUUUGAACUGACCCAACAACGGGGUAGGGGUGGGGGUGUAGAUUUCCGAAAAAACAGAGCUCAUUCUCAGCUCUUCUGUUAGCUUCUCUGAGCCUCAGUUCCCUUUAUCAGGAAAAUGGGCACACAGCUGCCCCGUGGGUGCCUGUAGGGAGGACCUGUGUUUGUCACACAGCCUGCCCCCUCCUCUGUUGAGUGACCUCAGCCCAGGUUGACCUCCGGGGCACCUCAGCCUGAUCUUAGGCUUCGAGGUUUCCCUUCCAUCUCAACCCCUCAGAUGCUCACACAGCAGCUCUCAAGGCCCCUGUCUGACCCCGUGCUGUGUCUUACGGGGAACACAGCCAGGGGAGCACAACCAGAGGAGCCUGCUGUGUGUGUGCGGGGUGAGUGUUGUAACUUUCCAACCCCAAGCUCAUCACUCAGCCUGGGGACUGGUGAGAAGGACAGUGCUCAGGGCCAAAGGGGCCCUGCAACCCAGCCGGCAGGGAGGUGAGUGUCUGGGCACAGACCCCUGGCAGCCUCUAAUCUCCUGCCCCUCAAGGGGCUGCAGGUGUCUCCUGGGGAUGCAGCCUCCCCGGUAGCUUGAACUAGGAGAGGGACUCAGGAAGCCCUGCCCCAGGUCUGGACCCCUAUCCCAAAAGGCAUGGCCUCUUUCCUGUCUUUACAAUGGUUGUAGUGACAUCCACUGGGCUGCAUGGGAGGGGGAAUGAGAAAGGUCUGCCAAAGCUGUAGACAGAGUAUGAACAAGUGCUUGUCCUUCUUUUGUCUCCCCACCCACCCUGGGAGAAGCCUCUUAGGCAAACACCUGUCCCCUCAUUUUGAUUUCUGACAAGGAAUCUCAUUCUGUCCCGUGAGGUGCACUGGGAAGGUGAGGCGGUGGAGCAGAUGCACUGGGUUGCGUGGAGGUCACGGAGUGGAGACCAAGCCGGCAGCUGUCCGAUCCUCAACCCGCUCCACUGGCAACCAGCGCAGGGACCGUGGCUUGGAGGCGAUCGGCGAGGGGCGCACAUCCAGGGAGCACGAGAAGAGGAUCCAGGACCCCACCCCAAGGCCCAUCCACCCCAGUCGCCGAGGGCGCCGGGGCCUCGCGCCACACCUGUCCGCUCCUCCCGGAGGCCCCGGCGCCGCUGCUGCCGGCCCCUCGGCGCGGAGCCCUGUGUCCGCCGUCGCUUUGAUCCCGGGGGCCCCGCUGGAUAAAAGUCCCGGGCGGCUCCGCGCCAGCGCCAGAGGGGGAGGCAGCCGAGCCGGGCGUACCAGCGGGCUGGCGCAGGACAAGCGACGCCGAGGAGCCGGGGCCGCGGGGCCGCCCGCGCCGGCCGCGGUGAGCGCGGGGCUCCGGGCGCGUUCGGGGUGGGGGAUGCCGGCCGGGGUCCGGGUGGCCCGCGGGCUGCUCUGGGCCUGGGCAGCGAGGGUGAGAGGGACCCCGGCGGCUCAGGUGAGCGCGGCCCCCCUGCGCCACCGGCCCGUCGGGCCCGGACCCGCUGCGCGGCGG
ensembl:lncRNA